UACCUCAUGAAGAUCCUCACCGAGCGCGGC
rnacentral:piRNA from 1 species